rnacentral:rRNA from 1 species
CCUACGGUGGGCUGCAGUGAGGAAUAUUGGUCAAUGGUCGGGAGACUGAACCAGCCAAGCCGCGUGAGGGAGGAAGGUACAGAGUAUCGUAAACCUCUUUUGUCAGGGAACAAAGACUGGGACGCGUCCCCGGAUGAGUGUACCUGAAGAAAAAGCAUCGGCUAACUCCGUGCCAGCAGCCGCGGUAAUACGGAGGAUGCGAUCGUUAUCCGGAUUUAUUGGGUUUAAAGGGUGAGCAGGCGGUCUUUUAAGUCAGCGGUAAAAGCCCGGGGCUCAACCCCGGCCCGCCGUUGAAACUGGCAGUCUCGAGUUGGAUAGAAGUAUGCGGAAUGCGCGGUGUAGCGGUGACAUGCAUAGAUAUCGCGCAGAACUCCGAUUGCGAAGGCAGCAUGCCGGCUCCACACUGACGCUGAGGCACGAAAGCGUGGGUAUCGAACAGGAUUAGAUACCCGUGUAGUC